GCGGCUGCUCCUGCCCAGUGCACAGCGACAAUAACCGCAACUAGAGUCAUCACCAUCUUUGUGUGUUCCAUUACAACUACUUCUGGGAAUGGGAAUGGAAGGACGAAAGGGACAGAUGGAGAGAAGUUUGAUUUGGUGAACCACUUUUCCUACUUCCCUAACAGUUUUCUUCGUUGGAGCUAUUGGGGCUAAGCUAGCUGGUCAACUUUGGCGCUUUGACACCUAAUGCCUGGACUUGGGAAGGUAUAUGGAGAUCGGUUAUCACGGCAACCAACUUCUUCAUCAGGUAAAAACUCAGAAACUUGGGACUUUUAGGAGUCUUUAAGGCUGUUGAUUUGGGUGGCUAAACUUUAAUGGCGUGUAGGAAGCGUAAUCCUAGUUUGAUCCUUCUUUUGGCUUCGACUUUUAUAUCUUUCUGUGUUUGGUCAAUGGUUAUCCUAACCCUUCGAGAAAUUUUGCUGCGGGUUAGAUAAACAAAAGUAUGAUGGGAAAAAGAAAAUAAGAACAGACGUCCUGCACAAGGCAUGUUCUUCCACUGAUCAAAAGAGGGGUACAUGUGCAGUGAUUGAUAUGCAGUAGGCCUGCGGCUCCAGCCCCCUCAAUAAGAGUUAUAGUCUCUUAGAAGCACAUGCACCGACGGUAUACAUUAAUACUGCUAAGUUUUGAAGCAAAAAUCUGCCAAAAUCAAAGGAACGGUGGGCAAGCCAAGGCUCAUUCGUUUUGUAGACUAUCGAAUUGAUGAAGUUGUAGAAAAUUGGGCGUAGUCCCGAGAUCGAAGCGAACUAAUGUAACCUUUUUAUUGAAUUUUUGGGAACUAACUUUAGGUAAGUUCAAUGACCAAAAGUGUUUUCUUAACCUAUGAAAAACAGCUAGUGUUUCUAUUGAACAAACUCAUCAAAGAAAUCACUAGGUAUUCAUCAAUAGUGUGUUUCUCUUGAUGAUGACAUAUAGGUUUAAAUACCAGGUUUAUGUUAUUUCAACUCUUGUUCAA